rnacentral:misc_RNA from 1 species
UUUCCGUAGGUGAACCUGCGGAAGGAUCAUUAUCAAAAGUCAAGUCGGGGGCUGUAAAGCUCUCGUCUACACCCAUGUCUUUUGCGUACUCUUGUUUCCUCGGUGGCGCAAGCUGCCGAUUGGACAAACCAAAACCUCUUUUGUAAUUGCAAUCAGCGUCUGAAAAUAAUCUAAUUAUUUACAACUUUCAACAACGGAUCUCUUGGUUCUG